GAGAAAAGUUCAUUGAACGACCUCAAGGAUAGCAAAAAAACCACAAUAAACAUAAAAGUAUUUAAAGACAGUGAAAAGGAUAUAGAAGAAAGGAAAGGAGGAUGUUGAGAUAGAAAUGAAAAAGAUUAUUCGUUAUUCAAUAUCUUAGAAGAAAAAUAACGAUAAACGGAAUGAUAUGAUUCGUUAUUACGAAAUAAUGACGUCAUUAACGUCAAGUAAGGUACUUCGGGGCGGAAACAGUUUGUAAGAAAUUCAGGGAGUAGGGGUAGUAAAAGUAAAAGAGAAUCAAAAGUGGGGUUACGAACGAGUAUAUAAAUCCGUAAAAAUUAUUAGUUCAACGAUGUUACUGACAAAAUGUGUUAGAGACGUGAACUUAUAGUCUAGGAUUGAAGAAAAGAGAAGAAGAAAGGCGAGCGAGAGAGAGAGAGGAAAGAUUUAUCUACGUUUGUAUAUGAGUUUGUGUAUUUCAUUAUUUAUUAGAAAUCUAAAUUGUUAUUUUACUUUUAAAAGGAAAAGUUUGGUGGUCGUCGAUUUCUCUGAUUUUAUAUAUCUAUGUUAUCAAAUCAAGAUAGUAGAAGAAGAAAUCAAUCAAGGAUUUUUCUUUCUAGGGAAAGGAGCAGCAGCGAGAAAAGUAUCAUUAGGAGAUGAGUACAACGAUUCUGGAAUAUUAUCAGAUGGAUAUGCUAGUAAUUAUACAUUUCUUAUAAUCGGAACUGUCUCAGAUACAAAUUGCAGUUUAUUAUUUUGAAAUCAUACUCAACAGCAUCCAAAUAAUGUACAUUUUAACAAACUAUUCGUAACGCACUAUGAAAGAUUUUUUAAAUGAAUAUUAACUUAUCCAUAUUAUUCAACGAAUUUAAACAAAUUGAUUAUCUUUAAUGGAUCUGAAUAGUGUUACAAAAAUCAUGUCUAUCAGGAAUAAUGGAUAUAUUUUUCUCUGUUCAAGUUAUUACGCAGAGUAUUUAAACAGAGCAAGUACCAUCGAUUUAAAUUCCCAGGGAAGAGUAAAAACAUUUCGAUACAAAAAAUGCCAAACUCAUCGCUGUAACUAAAAGGAAUUUUGUAAUAUAAUCGAUACAAAAGAUGAUAUACUACUAGCGAAUCCAAAUUAUACAUUCGUGACAGAUUAUUUAGAAUCAUUUGAAAUAUUAUUUAAAAAAUUAUUUCGGUUAAAAACCGAAUAAUCAAAUGUUCUUAUUAAUUCGUAAACAAUUCAAUGCUAAAUAGCCAUUUAAAAUCUCAUUAAAAAUUUGUCGGUAUAGACAUACUGAGAAUUACUAUAUAAUGGAAUAUUAUCACUAAAAUUAUAAUAUACUUAUUUGUCGGUGAUGAUAUUGAAUUUACUGAUGAUGUUGAUUGUUUACUAAAUCUGUUGCUGAUUACAGUAUAGCACAAAAAUAGGUCUAAGAAAAAUAUCGACAGUAGAGAAUAAGCAGGAAAGGAGUUCAAUUGUCGAACGUUGAACAAAAACACGAUGCAGAAAACGAAAACUCCUUCGAGAUGAUUCUCUUCUAAAAAUCUAAUAAUCGUUAUGAUAACGUCUAUCUGACUCUUACUUAUUAAUAUAGCUGAUGUCAUGAUUAAUGGUCUAGAAAUGGAUUAAAAAUUACAGAUCAUUGUAUGCAGUUUAAUCUGUUCUGAUCUUCUUAUCCUAGAACAUUGUCCAUUAGAAAAAAAAAUACAGGAAAUGUUCGUACCAUUGAAUCUACGUAAUUUCUCAUCUUCCUUGGAACGAUGAUCAUUUGCUCGAGUAAAAGUCCAGCUAAAUCAACAAAAGCAACUGGUACUAUGCUGAACAGGGAAGGCAUAUAAAUGAUCGUCGAUAAGUUUUUUCGGAGAAUACAUUCGAAGAAGAAACAACAUCAGUAUUUUCUAAACGAAUUUUAUAAAAUCGACUCCAAUUCUCUUUGUACCUUGGAAGAUCGCUUAGAAGAUUAUCAAUUACAGAACCAUAAUAACACCGAUCAGAAGAUCAUUCGAAAAACUAUUUGAAAGAUCGUCCAGAAUAUAAAUCUUCAUUAUAUUUCAGAUAUUCGUUUAAAAAAAUGUUCAUAUUGUAAGAUCUAGCAAUGUAAUGAUUAAUAUGCUUCUAAUAAAGUUGAGUAUAAAUUCAUCAACAA